UUUCUUCGUACUCUUCCUCAUCUCAGGCGCGCCAGUCGCCAACCGAGUUGGCAUCUUCUACCAAGUGGGAAGAGCUCGAUGACGCCUACUUCCAGUCCUAUUCCCAAAUCGGCAUCCAUGAGGAAAUGAUCAAGGAUCAUGUAAGGACGAAAACUUACAGGAAUGCCAUCAUGCAACAUCAAAAUUUAAUUUCAGGGAAAGUUGUAAUGGAUGUAGGCUGUGGGACAGGCAUUCUUUCUAUAUUCUGCGCUCUUGCUGGUGCUAGAAGGGUAAUAUCGGCCAUAAUUAUUCAUCAAUAAAAUUUAUAUUCCUUUUUUGCUGAUUCAAUAAUGAAUCAUUUAUGAAUUUGACAUCAAUAAUCUGUGACACGCCCUUUAUAUUUAAUUGUUGAAGCUACCUUCAUCACAAUGAUGUGUGAUAGUAUCAUAAU